AUCGCCGGCCUUUUGGCUAAGAUCAAGUGUGUAGUAUCUGGAAACAAUAGUUUUAUUAUCUGAUAGCUGUCCUCAUUUGGGGAAUGGCAUUAAAAUCAUGAUUUUAAACAGAGAUGGAAUAGGGGCUUGCUCCCAUUCACUCCACGUACCACCUGGUAUUGCAGCAUCUGUGAGCCGUGCACUUUCU